GCAGGGGUUCUGGGCCGGGCUGCUGGGCGUAGCCUGUCACCGCAAAUCGUCCUCACGGCGGGGCCGCAGCCUAGUGAAGGCUGGCUGCCAUGGUAUGGUACCCUGCACCCGACUGCGAAGCCCUGUCCCACAGGAUUGCAGCGGCAGCGAACCAGGCGAGGUCCGGAAGGAAGCAGCCUUAAGGUGUCAUUGCAGUGCUUGCGGGCCAGCAGGGUGGAGAAGGGCGCAGGUAAUACCGUGCCAUGGCCGCCUUCCGACGCUGGGCGUACCCUUGC
rnacentral:SRP_RNA from 1 species